rnacentral:lncRNA from 1 species
GGCGGACUUCUGUACUUAUAAUUUCUUUACCUUGUUCUUCCGGUGGGCUCCUGUACUUGCAAUUUCUUCACCUUGUUCUUUAGGCGGGCUCCUGGACUUAUUUUUUCUUCACCCUGUUCUUCAAGUGAGCUCCUGGACUUCCAAUUUCUUUACCUUGUUCUUAAUGCGGGAUCUUGGACUUACAAUUUCUUCACCAUGUUCUUCAGGCGGGCUCCUAGACUUACAGUUUCUUCACCC